AUACGGAGGGUGCAAGCGUUACUCGGAAUCACUGGGCGUAAAGCGCGCGCAGGCGGUCUUUUAAGUUGGAUGUGAAAGCCUACGGCUCAACCGUAGAACUGCAUCCAAAACUAUUAGACUAGAGUGUGGGAGAGGAAGAUGGAAUUAGUUGUGUAGGGGUAAAAUCCGUAGAGAUAACUAGGAAUACCAAAAGCGAAGGCAAUUUUCUGGAACACUACUGACGCUGAGGCGCGAAAGCGUGGGGAGCAAACAGGAUUAGAAACCCUAGUAGUCC
rnacentral:rRNA from 1 species